rnacentral:tRNA from 3 species
GGUAGUGUAGCUCAGUUGGUUAGAGCGAGGGACUCAUAAGCCCUAGGUCGGCAGUUCGAUCCUGCCCACUACCACCA